UUUAUAUGUCAGAUAUGGUUCUAAUUCUGGACAAACUAUCCAUUUCCCUGGAUCUAGGAGUCCAUAUUUAUAGGCGAUGACAUUCUCCUCUGUAAAGAAUCAUAACAGCAACCAUUUCUUGCGUGUGUAUUAUGCCCACAUGCUUGACAUGUGCCAUCAUUCUCAUUUUACUGUUGAGGAAACUGAGGCUCGGGCAGGUCUAAUGACUUGCCCCAUACUACACAAAUAGAAAGUGGCAAAGUCAGUUUGAAAUGGGGGUUCUUGGAAUCUGAAGUCUGACAUCAGCUACUAUACCACAGCAAUGACAACUGUGAUACAAACCCAGGGACCUAGACUACAGGUUCAAGGAAGUAAAGGAAAUUUUAGAAGCAAGAUGGGCAGUAUCAUCUUUUGUCUACUUAGUAGGAGGCAAAGGGUAAGAGAAAAGAAGAAAUCUGCCAUUAAGAGCUAUAUAAAGGUGAGAGACGAGUGAAAGUCUUACUUUGUGGGUGCUUGUUAGCCAUGAGUCCUGGUCCUAGUCCUAUCCUGAGAACUAGUCUCCUGCCCUUGUUUUCUGGUAGGCAUUCUUGUAUACUUACUAUGCAUUCUCUUUUCCAGUUAAGCUGGAAUUUAUGGCACCUAGAAUUUAAACAAAUUGAGCCAAGUCCUGUGGCUACUUAGCAGUAGGAGCUGGGUUCAGACCCAUCUCCUAGUGCUGUCUCCAUCACACUCCAAGCACCCACCCUGGCUGCCUCACUGUUUUGCAAAUAUACUGAGCUCAGGAGCUCAUGCCAAUCCUAUUACAGUUUGCUCCUCCCGUCACAAACAGCCUUAGAGACCACUUCCUCUCCUCAUUUAGGUCUCAAUUCAAAUGUCACUCAGAGAUACCUACCCUGACAACCUCAUCUAAAAUAGUCUCUAACUUCUUUCUUGUAUACUUAUUGUAAAUAAUAAGUUUCUAGGCUUUGCAUAUUUAUUUUUACUAAAACUUACUGAUACUAGAAUUGAUAGUGCAUAUUUAUUUGUAUACUUGUUUAUCUGUCUCUCUCCCUGCCCACCAGAAAUAUAAGCCCUUUGAGGUCUGGGGUCACCUUUCUUAUUCAUUGCUGUAUUUUCAGUGCACUGACUAGAACUGCACCUGUCAUAUAGAAGAUACCCGUAAAUGUUUGUUUCAUCAGUUCAUUAAGCCUAAAUCAAUGCCUUUUUCAUGGCCUUAUAUUUGAUCACAAUCCUAGGGACACUCAAAAAAAUCCCACUGGAAUAAUCCCAAUAGUCUGGAAGGUCAAGGCAGGUGAAUCAGUUGAGGCCAGGAGUUCAAGACCAGCCUGGCCAAAAAGGGGAAACCCCGUCUCUACUGAAAAUACAAAAAUUAGCCAGGCAUGGUGGCACAUGCCUGUAGUCCCAGCUACUUGGGAGGCUGAGGCAGGAGAAUUGCCUGAAACAGGGAGGCGGAGGUUGCAAUGAGCCAAGAUGGUGCCACAGCACUCCAGCCUGAGUGAUAGAGCAGGACCUUCUCUCAAGGAAAAAAAAAAAAAAGGAAUGAAAACAAUCUCUGAAG
rnacentral:lncRNA from 1 species